GGUCUGAAGUUAAUUGCUAUGGUAACGGUAAACAGUGUCGAAGUGAAGCGGUUGUUUCGGCGUGGUUGUUCUUCUCUCUUCAGUAAUCUCUAGUUCAUCAUGUCAGACGCGGGCUCUGAAGAGUUUGAAGAAGAGCAGGGCUCUCUGGGGGAGUACGAGGGAGACCGAAAUGAAGCAGGAGAGAGACAUGGACAGGGCAGAGCUGUCCUGCCGAAGGGAGACACUUACCAAGGAGCUUAUGAAACCGGCAAGAGAUGUGGCCAGGGGACAUAUAAGUUCAAGAAAGGGGCCAGAUACAUUGGAGAAUGGUACAUGAAUUUAAAACACGGACAGGGUAUGUUUUAUUACCCAGAUGGCUCCAAAUAUGAAGGAAGCUGGGUGGAUGACCAGCGGCAGGGUCAUGGUGUUUACACAUACCCCAAUAGAGACACAUAUGAUGGGGAAUGGCUGCACCAUCAAAGACAUGGGCAGGGUACAUACACACAUCACGAAACUGGCUCCCAGUACAUGGGCACAUGGGUCAUGGGAAAGAUGGCGUCCACUGGGCAGCUGAUCCAUCUGAACCACAGAUAUCAGGGCAACUUUGUCAAUAAUAAUCCCUCUGGUCCAGGGAAGUAUGUGUUUGACAUUGGCUGUGAGCAGCAUGGAGAGUAUUUCCAGUUAGAGCCGGUAUGAGAAGCAGAGGAAGAUGAGACUCUCAUUACCACCUGCUUAAAGUGGAACCCCAAGGCAGUUACUGGGCUUUCUGUUUAGACCAAUGAGAAGGAUUCUGCCACCUCGGAUCAAGCCGUGGUGGAAAAGUGAGAAAGACAUACAGACAGUGAGAAACACAGAACACCAAAAGAUGAUAAAGAAAAGAGGACCUCCGGUUCAUUAUAGCUGACACUGUCACAAUGGGAUCCUGUAUCAGCAUAAUCGUUUCUGACUGUACAUUAUCACGCCUAUUACAUGGCCUCUUGACAAAUAAAUAAAUGGACAUG